rnacentral:rRNA from 1 species
UACGUAGGGUGCAAGCGUUAAUCGGAAUUACUGGGCGUAAAGCGUGCGCAGGCGGUUUUGUAAGUCUGUCGUGAAAUCCCCGGGCUCAACCUGGGAAUUGCGAUGGAGACUGCAAGGCUAGAAUCUGGCAGAGGGGGGGUAGAAUUCCACGUGUAGCAGUGAAAUGCGUAGAGAUGUGGAGGAACACCGAUGGCGAAGGCAGCCCCCUGGGUCAAGAUUGACGCUCAUGCACGAAAGCGUGGGGGAGCAAAC